CACAUGCAAGUCGAACGGUAACAGGAAGCAGCUUGCUGCUUUGCUGACGAGUGGCGGACGGGUGAGUAAUGUCUGGGAAACUGCCUGAUGGAGGGGGAUAACUACUGGAAACGGUGGCUAAUACCGCAUAACGUCGCAAGACCAAAGAGGGGGACCUUCGGGCCUCUUGCCAUCAGAUGUGCCCAGAUGGGAUUAGCUUGUUGGUGAGGUAACGGCUCACCAAGGCGACGAUCCCUAGCUGGUCUGAGAGGAUGACCAGCCACACUGGAACUGAGACACGGUCCAGACUCCUACGGGAGGCAGCAGUGGGGAAUAUUGCACAAUGGGCGCAAGCCUGAUGCAGCCAUGCCGCGUGUAUGAAGAAGGCCUUCGGGUUGUAAAGUACUUUCAGCGGGGAGGAAGGUGUUGUGGUUAAUAACCACAGCAAUUGACGUUACCCGCAGAAGAAGCACCGGCUAACUCCGUGCCAGCAGCCGCGGUAAUACGGAGGGUGCAAGCGUUAAUCGGAAUUACUGGGCGUAAAGCGCACGCAGGCGGUCUGUCAAGUCGGAUGUGAAAUCCCCGGGCUCAACCUGGGAACUGCAUUCGAAACUGGCAGGCUUGAGUCUUGUAGAGGGGGGUAGAAUUCCAGGUGUAGCGGUGAAAUGCGUAGAGAUCUGGAGGAAUACCGGUGGCGAAGGCGGCCCCCUGGACAAAGACUGACGCUCAGGUGCGAAAGCGUGGGGAGCAAACAGGAUUAGAUACCCUGGUAGUCCACGCCGUAAACGAUGUCUACUUGGAGGUUGUGCCCUUGAGGCGUGGCUUCCGGAGCUAACGCGUUAAGUAGACCGCCUGGGGAGUACGGCCGCAAGGUUAAAACUCAAAUGAAUUGACGGGGGCCCGCACAAGCGGUGGAGCAUGUGGUUUAAUUCGAUGCAACGCGAAGAACCUUACCUGGUCUUGACAUCCACAGAACUUUCCAGAGAUGGAUUGGUGCCUUCGGGAACUGUGAGACAGGUGCUGCAUGGCUGUCGUCAGCUCGUGUUGUGAAAUGUUGGGUUAAGUCCCGCAACGAGCGCAAC
rnacentral:rRNA from 1 species